GAGACCCGUGCCCACUGUUACCAGCAUGUCCUCCGGGAUGAUGGGUACUCUGUGGGGACCGCCGGUGUUAAAUCGGAGGAAGGUGCGGGCCACGGUAGGUCAGUAUGCCCCGAAUCUCCCGGGCUACACGCGGGCUACAAUGGAUGGGACAAUGGGUCCCUACCCCGAAAGGGGAUGGUAAUCUCAUAAACCCAUUCCUAGUUCGGAUCGAGGGCUGUAACUCGCCCUCGUGAAGCUGGAAUCCGUAGUAAUCGCGUUUCAAUAUAGCGCGGUGAAUAC
rnacentral:rRNA from 1 species